rnacentral:rRNA from 1 species
CCUACGGGUGGCAGCAGUAGGGAAUCUUUCACAAUGGGCGAAAGCCUGAUGGAGCAACGCCGCGUGCAGGAUGAAGGCCUUCGGGUUGUAAACUGCUUUUAUAAGCGAGAAAUAUGAUGGUAACUUAUGAAUAAGGAUCGGCUAACUACGUGCCAGCAGCCGCGGUCAUACGUAGGAUCCGAGCAUUAUCCGGAGUGACUGGGUGUAAAGAGUGUCGUAGGUGGCAUAAUAAGUAGCUAGUGAAAUCUGGUGGCUCAACCAUUCAGACUAUUAGCUAAACUGGUAAUCUCGAGACCGUUAGGGGUAACUGGAAUUUCUAGUGUAGGAGUGAAAUGCGUAGAUAUUAGAAAGAACACCAAUAGCGUAGGCAGGUUACUGGGACGGUUCUGACACUAAGGCACGAAAGCGUAGGGAGCAAACGGGAUUAGAUACCCGGGUAGUC